UAGGGAAUCUUCGGCAAUGGGGGCAACCCUGACCGAGCAACGCCGCGUGAGUGAAGAAGGUUUUCGGAUCGUAAAGCUCUGUUGUAAGAGAAGAACGUGUGUGAGAGUGGAAAGUUCACACAGUGACGGUAACUUACCAGAAAGGGACGGCUAACUACGUGCCAGCAGCCGCGGCAAUACGUAGGUCCCGAGCGUUGUCCGGAUUUAUUGGGCGUAAAGCGAGCGCAGGCGGUUUAAUAAGUCUGAAGUUAAAGGCAGUGGCUUAACCAUUGUUCGCUUUGGAAACUGUUAAACUUGAGUGCAGAAGGGGAGAGUGGAAUUCCAUGUGUAGCGGUGAAAUGCGUAGAUAUAUGGAGGAACACCGGUGGCGAAAGCGGCUCUCUGGUCUGUAACUGACGCUGAGGCUCGAAAGCGGGGGGAGCAAACAGG
rnacentral:rRNA from 1 species